rnacentral:rRNA from 1 species
GACGAACGCUGGCGGCGUGCUUAACACAUGCAAGUCGAACGGAAAGGCCCUGCUUUUGUGGGGUGCUCGAGUGGCGAACGGGGGAGUAACACGUGAGUAACCUGCCCUUGACUGUGGGAUAACUUCAGGAAACUGGGGCUAAUACCGGAUAGGAUCUCUUGCUGCAUGGUGGGGGUUGGAAAGUUUCGGCGGUAGGGGAUGGUCUCGCGGCUUAUCAGCUUGUUGGUGGGGUAGUGGCUUACCAAGGCUUUGACGGGUAGCCGGCCUGAGAGGGUGACCGGCCACAUUGCGACUGAGAUACGGCCCAGACUCCUACGGGAGGCAGCAGUGGGGAAUAUUGCACAACGGGAGGAAGCCAGAUGUGGCAACGCCGCGUGCGGGAUAACGGCUUGGGGGUUGUAAACCGAUUUCGCAUGUGCCGAAGCGUGAGUGACGGUAAUGGGUAAAGAAGCACCGGCUAACUACGUG